GUGAAUCAUCGAAUCUUUGAACGCAAAUUGCACUCUCUGGUAUUCCGGAGAGUAUGCCUGUUUGAGGGUCAGUUUAAAUAAAAAUCGGUGUGGUUGCUGCCUUUCGUGGUGACGCACCGGAUUUUGGUCGUAUGGCCUUGGGUUAGGUAUCCUCAAAUUGUGAUGGUUUUUUUUCGAACUUUUUUAAUUUAUUUUACGUCGGAUGGGGUAAACG
rnacentral:misc_RNA from 1 species